CUGUCACUGUGGGGGCUCCUGUCACCAUGGGGGGUCCUGUCACUUGAGGGUCCUGUCACCGUGGGGGGUCCUGUGACUUGAGGGUCCUGUCACCGUGGGGGGGGUCCUGUGACUUGAGGGUCCUGUCACCGUGGGGGUCCUGUCAGCGGGGGCCCUUGGCAGUCACGCUGGAGGCGCGAGCAUUUUGUCCUCGUUGGAGGAGCCCGUGUCCAGCUCCCGGGCCCCGUGGGUCCCGCGCAGCCCUACCGGGUGGCGCCCCAAGGGCCGGCCCUCCGCACCGACGUCCUUUCGCUGCAGCGGUGGUGCGCGCGCCGCGCUCUCCCCCGUGGCUGGCUCUCGGCUGCAGCGUGGCGGGCGCGCGGAGGCGGCCUGCUCCCCACACUGACCCACGGCCGCUGCGGCGUCGGGGCCCCAUGGCGCGGGGCCUCGGGGACCGAGGGGCACGUCCUUCGGAGGCGGGGCUGGCUCUGGCUCUGGCACUGGCACUGGCUCUGGCUCUGUCUUGAGCGCUCGGCCUGGAGGGCGGGCUGAGGCGGCGGGCGGCGUCAACGCGGUCGGCCGAUGGACAAAGUUUGGAGAGCGCUUCGGGGCAGUACCUCUGGAAGUGGCCCCAAAGCAUACGCACGUCUGGCUCCCAUCGCAGGAGGGCUCUUAACCAGGACACGAUGACUGUGCUAGUGAUCCACUGUCUCCUGCCUGUGACGGUGCUGGUGAUCCACUGUGCCUGCCU
rnacentral:lncRNA from 1 species